UCACAAAAGACACUAAAUCUUUCACUUGGAACUUCUCUUGGGAUUAGGAGCAGCCCUCUAGAAUUUUUUAUAGUCCUCUAGCCUAGAAAAUGCCACCAAGGAGACGAGGACAAGGCAAGGGACCCAUGAUAGGAAGAGGACCACCACGACCUCAACUGUCAUUCCCACCAAACUAGUGGUUCGUUCUAUGCUUUGAAUUACUUGAAUUCUCCUCGUACCAAUCAAUACCAACAAGAUGAGGAUUCCGACCAUGAGAUGCCUAACUCGGGAGCAGAACAACAUCCCAUAGAGUUAUCUAGUGAUACCACCUCAUACCACGGCUCACCCUAUCAUGGUCCAGAUGAAUGGAACAUGUAUUUUAACAAGAUGAUGCCCUAGUGUUACCCCACCAAAUGGUGGAACAACAACAAAGAAGACACCGUACUAAGCCUAGGAUGUCGGUAUGACCAGGAGUACCUCUUGGCACUUCCCCUAUACCCCAUCUAUUGGUCAACUUGGACGUAUGCAAGAAUACCCUCAGAUGUGUGGACCUUCUUACUCCACCCCGGCCGAUGAUUCAGUACCCCCAGGGUUUUGAAAACCCUAUACCAACGUACCCGACCUCAUCUGGGUACGAAAACCCUUUUGCAUUAGCCCCGACGGAGUAUACAUCUCCACGGUAUGACCCUUUUGUUCAUGCAGUUGUACAAAACUCCAACAAAGCUUUGUUGGAUAUGCUUUUAAGGGUGUGUUUGGUUAGCAAAAUUUAAUACAGAUGGAAUCUGAAUUUAAGUUCCAAACG